rnacentral:rRNA from 1 species
AGUGAACGCUGGCGGUAGGCCUAACACAUGCAAGUCGAACGGCAGCACAGUAAGAGCUUGCUCUUACGGGUGGCGAGUGGCGGACGGGUGAGGAAUACAUCGGAAUCUACUUUUUCGUGGGGGAUAACGUAGGGAAACUUACGCUAAUACCGCAUACGACCUACGGGUGAAAGCAGGGGAUCUUCGGACCUUGCGCGAUUGAAUGAGCCGAUGUCGGAUUAGCUAGUUGGCGGGGUAAAGGCACACCAAGGCGACGAUCCGUAGCUGGUCUGAGAGGAUGAUCAGCCAGACUGGAACUGAGACACGGCCCAGACUCCUACAGGAGGCAGCAGUGGGGAAUAUUGGACAAUGGGCGCAAGCCUGAUCCAGCCAUACCGCGUGGGGGAAGAAGGCCUUCGGGUGGGAAAGCCCUUUUGUUGGGAAAGAAAAGCAGCAGGUUAAUACCCCGCGGUUCUGACGGUACCCAAAGAAUAAGCACCGGCUAACUUCGUG